UUUUUUCUUUUUUUCUUUUUUUAUUUUCUUUGUUCUUUUAUAUUACAACUCGUUACGCGUUGUAAAUUUGUAACUUUAAUGUAACACAUAUAUAGAUCAAAAUUUUUAAGGAAAGAAAAAAAAAAAUACAAAAUAUAAAAUAAUGCACAUAUAUGUAAUAUAUAUAUAGAGUCAAUUAUAAAAAAAGGAUAAUUAAUAAGCAUAUAUUUUCAUAUAUAUAUAUAUAUAUAUAUAUAUAUAUAUAUAUAUAUAUAUGUAUAUAUGUGCAUAUGUAAUAUUAUUUGUAUGUACAGAUAAAAAUCCUUAAAAAAAAAUGCAUUUACGCAUAUAUAUAUAUAUAUAUAUAUAUAUAUAUAUAUAUUUAUUUAUUUAUUUAUUUAUUUAUUUAUUUAUAUAUUUAUAUAUUUAUAUUUAUGUACUUAUUUAUUUUGCAUAAUAUGAAUUAUAUUUUAUUCUAUAUAAACUUAUAUGUAACUAUUUGUUCUUAAUAAUAUGUAAAAUAUAAGUCGUUUUCUUUACAACAAUUUUAUAACAUGGCUUAUUAAUAAUUUAUAUAUAAUAAUUAAUAACAGAUAUUUAAAUAUAUAAUAAGUAUAUGAAUGAAAUCUUUUUUUUUCAUUAAAUAUAAUAUAUAUAUAUGUAUUAUAUACAUAGAACAGUGCUAUUUUAUUUUACUUAAUAUUUUUUUGUAUUUUAUAUGUAUAAUUCUAGAAUAUAUUUAGAAUAUAAAAAGAAAAAUAAAAUAAUUUCAUAAGUCUCUCUAUAUAUAUAUAUAUAUAUAUAUUCAUAAUUAAUAAUAUUACACUGAUAUAUAAAUAAUAUUAAUAUAUUUAAUAUUAACAUUAUCUGUAUGUAUAUCCUUUUUAUUAUGUAGAUUAAAAUGUCACACGCUCUUACUAUAUGUAAAAAAAAAAAAAAAAAUAAUAAAAAGAAUUAUAAAGUAAUAAAAUAUAUAUCUCUUUCAGUUUGUAUCUACAUAUAUUAAGCUGUCAUAAAAAUAGUAUAUAAAUAAUACAUUCAUAAUUUAUUAAUAUAUUUUAUUAAAUUUUUGAUGCAUAUUAUAAUUAGGUGACAGAUAUGUAAAUAUUAAAAAUACGUUCAUUUCAAAAGGGAAAAGAAAAUAUGCAUUUUAUGUAAUAUGUAAUUUCUAAAUAUUUAUUUAUUUUUAUAUUUUAUAUAAAAUGUAUUUAUUAUAAUAAAGCAUAUAAUAUUAAUAACAUGAGCAUAAAUGUACUAUAAAUAUAUAAUAAUAUAAAUGUAUGUAUAAUUUUUCUUUUUAUAUGUAUGUGUUAUAUAAUGAUCGGGGUAAUAAACUAUAAGACAAAAAAUUGUAUUAUCAUAUUUAUAUAUAUUUAAUAAAAAUAUUUUUUAUAUACAAAAGGAUUUAUCAAAAUAUUAUAUAUGUAUUUAUAUAUUUAUUUAUUUUUAUUUCUUUUCUUUUUUGUAAUAUUAUGUUACUAUAUGUAUAAUGUAAUAAUAUAUAUAUAUAUAUAUAUAUAUAUAUAUAUUUAUUUAAAAAAGUAUAUAAUUUUCAGUAUAUAUAUAUAUAUAAAAACACAAUUUAGAAAAUUAUUUUAUAUAACAAGUGUGCAAAAAUGUAAAAAUGUAAAAAUAUAGAAGAAUAAAAAAAUAAACAUAUUUCAUUCCACAAUUUUUUUUUAUUUUAAAUUUAAAUAGUAAAAAAAAAAAAUGAAAUAAGACAAUAUCCAAUUAUAUACUUUAAAAUAGUUCUACACAUAUAAGUAAAAAAAAGUACAUAACAAUAAAAAUAGGCAAUAUCACGGUUCAAAAUAUAUUCAAAAAAAAAAAAAUAAACAGUAUUUUAUUAUAUAACAAAGAAUUAUCACGAGGACAAAAUUUUAUUUAUAAAAAAAUAAUAUUAUAAAUAUAUUUAUAAAUGUAUACAUAUUCAUUUAAAUAUUUAUUAAAUAUAUAAAAUGAUAAAGACAAUAUAAGAUACGUCACAUAUUUCAAUCUUGCACUAUAUAAAUAUGAAUUAAUAUAUUAAUAUGUAUAAAUAUAUAUAAGCAUACAAUAAUAUAUAUUUUAUUAUUGACAGAUAAAUAAAUAUAAAUAUAUAUAUGUAUAACUUUGAAUAUAUAUAUAAAAACAAGACAUUAAAUUAAAAUAAUUUUAAAUAAAAAUAUUCCAUGUAAUUAUACAUUUGUGUAUAUGUAAAUUUUACUAUACAUUUAUAUAUAUAUAUAUAUAUAUAUAAGUUCAUUUAAAUUAUUAUCUUUUUUUUUUUUUUCAAUCUUUAUAAUUUGAAUAAAAUACUUAUAAAAUAUUUAUGUAUCUUAAAAAAAAGGAAACAUAUAAAAUAAACAAGUACAAAAUAUUAUAUUUCUUUUAGAUAUAUAUAUUUUUUUAUUUUUUGCGUAUGUUCUUUGUUAUAUAUUUAGAUAAAGCAAAUUCAUUUGUAUUCUUAUGUAUCAUAUAAAUAUUAAAUAAUGUAUAUUUAAAAAAAAAAAAAAAAAAAAUCCAUAAAUAUAUGUAUAAAUAUAUAUAUAAUGUAAAUAUUUCGCAAUAUUUCAAAGUACAGAUUCAGGUAUACACAGUUGCCAAUAGAAGGAAAAAAAAAAAAAAAAAUUAAAAAAUUAAAUUAUAUAUAUUUUCUAAUUACAUAAAUUAAAUUACUUUUAUAUUGAAUGAAAUAUAUGUGUAUUCUUAUAUAAUAAAGGAAAAGAAAAAAAAAAAAAAAACGUAAUUAAGACAUAUAUAUAUAUAUAUAUAUAUAUAUAUUUUGGUACAUAAAAAACAAGGCAAAUAUUUGAUACCAUUUAAAAGUAGUAUAUGUAGAAUUUUUUAAAGAAUAAAAAAAAUUAAUAAAAAAUUAUUAUAUGCUAUAUGCAACUAUUUUAUUAUUUUAUUGUAUAUACGAUACAUAUCUGUGCGUAUUUAUAUAUAUGAGACAAAUAUAAAAUUACAUAAACAUAUUAUACAUAUAUAUAUAUAUAUAAUAAUAAAUGUUCACAUUUUUUUUUUUUUUUUUUUCUUUCUUUUUAUUAAAUUAUAAUAUAAAUAUAUAAACGCAUAAACUAUUCUUACGCUCUAGAAAAUUACAAAAUAUAUUUAAAAAAAGCUUUUGAUGAAUAUUUAUUUUUAUGUGUGAUUAUAUAUAUAUAUAUAUAUAUAUUAACACAUGUUAUGUAUAUAUAGUAUAGAGCAUAUUAUAAAGGUCAUAUACAUUUCUUUACGAAUAUCAAAAAUGCCAUUUCAAAAUUCUUAUUAAAAAAUUAUACUUGUUCUAUAAAGAAAAUAAUAAAAUACUACAAAUAAUAUCAUUAAUGUGGAAAGGUUAGUAUUACAUAUUAUGUAUAAAAUGUUUAUAUAUAUAUAUAUAUAUAUAUAUUACUUGGUUUUAUAUAUAUAUAUUAAGGUUUUAAUAUUUUUCUAUAAAAUAUAAAUACCAUUUUUCAAAAAUAACUAUAAGUUUUAUAUAAAUAAAUAACAUAUUAUAUUAUGUAAUGAAUA